UACGAAGGGGGCUAGCGUUGCUCGGAAUCACUGGGCGUAAAGCGCACGUAGGCGGCUUUGUAAGUUAGAGGUGAAAGCCUGGAGCUCAACUCCAGAACUGCCUUUAAGACUGCAUCGCUAGAAUCGUGGAGAGGUGAGUGGAAUUCCGAGUGUAGAGGUGAAAUUCGUAGAUAUUCGGAAGAACACCAGUGGCGAAGGCGACUCACUGGACACGUAUUGACGCUGAGGUGCGAAAGCGUGGGGAGCAAACAGG
rnacentral:rRNA from 1 species